AGGGGUGUGGCUCAGUGGCAGAGCAUCUACUUUGCAUGUAGGUUCCAGGUUGAAUCCCUAACAUCGCUA